rnacentral:rRNA from 1 species
UACGGAGGAUGCAAGCGUUAUCCGGAAUGAUUGGGCGUAAAGAGUCCGUAGGUGGUAUUACAAGUCUGUGGUUAAAGCGCGAAGCUCAACUUCGUAAGGGCCAUGGAAACUGUGAAACUAGAGUGAGAUAGGGGUAGAGGGAAUUCUUGGUGUAGCGGUGAAAUGCGUAGAUAUCAAGAAGAACACCGGUGGCGAAAGCGCUCUACUGGAUCUUAACUGACACUGAGGGACGAAAGCUAGGGGAGCGAAAGGG